rnacentral:rRNA from 1 species
GACGAACGCUGGCGGCGUGCUUAACACAUGCAAGUCGAGCGGAGCGGCGAACGGGUGAGUAACGCGUGAGUAACUGCCCCCCUCUCUGGGAUAACAGUUGGAAACGGCUGCUAAUACCGGAUAGUGGGGGAUGACUCGUUGCCUAUGAGCUUGUUGGUGGGGUAGUGGCCUACCAAGGCGACGACGGGUAGCCGGCCUGAGAGGGGGACCGGCCACAUUGGGCUGAGAGAGGGCCCAAAGUCCUACGGGGGGCAGCGGGGGGGAAUAUUGCACAAUGGGGGAAACCCUGAGGGAGCAACGCCGGGUGCGUGAUGACGGCCUUCGGGUUGUAAACCGCUGUAGGCCAUGACGCGGUAGUGGCAGAAGAAGCACCGGCUAACUACGUGCCAGCAGCCGCGGUAAUAC